rnacentral:rRNA from 1 species
GAUGAACGCUGGCGGCGUGCCUAAUACAUGCAAGUCGAACGAGGUGCUUUUGUAGCAAUACGAGAGUAUCCUAGUGGCGAACGGGUGAGUAACGCGUGGGUGACCUGCCCCAAAGUGUGGGAUAACAGAUCGAAAGAUCUGCUAAUACCUCAUGUGGUUAUCGGGUUUAGAAAGCGAUAACUAAAGGAGUAAUCCGCUUUGGGAGGGACCUGCGUCCCAUCAGCUAGUUGGUGAGGUAACGGCUCACCAAGGCGACGACGGGUAGGGGACCUGAGAGGGUGGCCCCCCACCAAUAGGAACGUA